ACAGACUGUCCUGAGCUGUAUUACUUCUUAGUAUCAGCAGCCAAAAUAUACUGACCUCUGCACCAAGCACUUUAAACCCAUUGUCUCGAUUAAUCUCUAUUUAUUCAUUUAUUAUUUUUUGAGACGGAGUCCCAUUCCAUCACCCAUCCUCAGAUGAGGCACUGAGAGGUUUAAUAACUAGUUCAAGGUCAUGCUGCUAGAAAAUGGCAGAACCAGGACAUAUCCCAUGUAUGUCCACCUCCCAUGCCCUCCUCCUAGCCCAUUUCCCACCUCUAGGCUGGACUGGGGAAUAUGCUCAGGUUCAAGGACAGGUGAAGAUGGUGGCGUAGACUCAGUAGAAGUUCCUUUUACUUUGGUUUACUUCCUAAGUAAGUGUGAAGGAUACAAAUGCAAUUCUGGUGCAGGUGAGUAGAUGAGCUCCCCGUUACUUCUCUUCGGUUUCACGAAGGCCCAUCCAAAGAUUGGUGGUCUUAGAGGCUGCACAGGUGUAAUGAGACAUUGGCUAUACUGGAGAAGCACAGAACUGUGGGCUGGCUGCCUUUGAUACCCUGAGCUACAUCACCACCCAGAAACAACUUCAACUGCCUUAUAAAGCAAUGAUCCCACUCCUUGGUGAGUCAUGUCACCAAACCUCAUCUGAAGGUUGGGGUUCCAGGUCUGGGAGUUCUUGCAGUGUCAACACUGGGGCAAUUGCCCCUUAUUGGUGCCAGUGUCACAUAGGCCUUGGAGUUUCCCAUUCAUAUCCACCUCAGGGCUUUUCAUGGGCAGGGCUGGACACACCUAUCCACCACGCUGUCCCUCAGGCCUGGGGCUGGAGCUGCGGCCCCUCCACGGAGGCUCUGUGAAUAAGGGCGACCCAUUCUGUCCUACAUCAGCUUCACAUGUGUCACUCUGCAAUGGCCUCUGCAUUGAAAAAUUCCUCCCCAGAAGGAGGCCCAGCUUCUGAUGGCUUUGGAAAGUGAUGAUGGUUAAUUUCACGUGUCAACUUGACUGGGCUAAGGGAUGCCCCCAUAGCUGGUAAAACAUGAUUUCUUGGUGUGUUUGUGAGGGCAUUUCUGGAAGAGAUUGGCAUUUGGAUUGGUAGACUGAGUGAAGAAGAGCCCCCCUCGCCAAUAUCGGCGGGCAUCAUCCAAUCCUUCAAGGACCUAAAUGGCACAGAAGAGGUGGAGGAAGGACAGAUUUGCUCUCUGCCUGAGCUGGGACAUCCAUCUCCUCCUGCCUAGGACAUAGCCACUCCUGGUUCUCCGGCUGGCGGCUGGCAGAUCAAAGAACUUCUCCGCCUCCACAAUCAUGGGAGCCAAUCCUCACAAAUCUCUUUCUGUAGAUCCAUGUCUGUCCUAUUGAUUCUGUGUCAAUAGGAUACCCCGACUUAUGUGGCCCCUUAGCACAUUUCACCUCAGAGAUGCUCGCAGCCCUGCUUCAACCUGCCCAUUGUUACCUCCCAUUUCCCCCAAGGCUGCUCUGGCCUAGAGUCCGAGCUGUGUGGUCAGAAAUCUUUGACUCCUUCCUCUUCCUCAUCCUCCAUAGCCAAUCAGUGUUCAAGUCCAUUCAAGACUUUCCUCCUAACUCCCCCACACCCCACCCACAUUAGUCGCUUCCUUUGAUUUCCACUUCUCCAGGCGCCAUCCAUACCUCUCAGGCUCACACCUGGUUGGCUGCAGGGGCAUCUGACCUAGCCGUCCUUCCUCCAGUCUCAUGCCCGCCAUCCAUUCAUCGUCCAGCAUACACUUACCAAGCACCUAUUCUGUGUUGGGCACCCCAUCAGGCACUGGGCAUGCAAAGAAAUAGGACAACUGGGCACGGGGGCUCAUACCUGUAAUCCCAGCACUUUGGGAGGCCAAGGCAGGCAGAUCAUAAGGUCAGGAGAUCGAGACCAUGGUGGCCAACAUGGUGAAACCCCGUCUCUACUAAAAAUACAAAAAUUAGCUGGGCGUGGUGGUAUGUGCCUGUAAUCCCAGCUACUUGGGAGGCUGAGGCAGGAGAAUUGCUUGAACCAGGGAGUCGGAGAUGGUGGUGAGCCGAGAUCACGCCACUGCAGUCCAGUCUAACAACAGAGUGAGACUCUGCCUCAAAAAAAAGAAAAGAAAAGAAAGAAAGAAAGAAAUAGGACAGACACACCCACACAAUUCUAUCUUCCAAGUAUUCCCUUUCUACAUCUGCAUACAUACCUUCUAAGAAGGUUUUUAAGUUUUCAUUCUCAGCCUUUAGGACUUUUGUUAGGCUGAGCAGGGUGAGGCCCAGAGAAA
rnacentral:lncRNA from 10 species